AAUGGCGCGCUGCGCGGAGGAAUUUCACCUCGCUGGUUGGUGUCUGGCCGCCUUGCAUUGCUCCCUACGCGGACAACAAAUUUUAUGGACUGAUGAGAGCAAGAUAAACCUCUACCAAAGUGAUGGAAAGGCCAAAUUAUGAAG